rnacentral:rRNA from 1 species
UACUAGAGUAGCACUCGCAUAUCAAUAAGCGGAGGAAAAGAAACUAACAAGGAUUCCCCUAGUAACGGCGAGUGAAGCGGGAAGAGCUCAAAUUUGAAAUCUUAAAGGGUUUCCCUUUACGAAUUGUAGUUUAAAGAAGUGUUUUCUGUUGAGGUUUUGGUAAAAGUUCUUUGGAAUAGGACAUCAUAGAGGGUGAGAAUCCCGUAUUUGACCUUUACUUUCAACUUUGUGAUACACUUUCAAAGAGUCGGAUUGUUUGGGAAUGCAGUCCAAAAUGGGUGGUAAAUUUCAUCUAAAGCUAAAUAUUGGCGAGAGACCGAUAGCGAACAAGUACCGUGAGGGAAAGAUGAAAAGAACUUUGAAAAGAGAGUUAAACAGUACGUGAAAUUGUCAAAAGGGAAGCGUUUGACACCAGUGUUGUUUUUCUGAAAAUCAAUUAAAGAACUGUUUAUGCUAAGCUGUUUAGACUUUAUCAGCUAUCUGUUUAGUUUUGAGCUUUUCUUUAAUGCACUUUCAGUUAACAAGUCAACAUCAAUUUCUUUUGCUGUAAAAAAGCUUGAGGAAGGUGGCUUGAGAUUCGUCUUAAGUGUUUAUAGCCUCUUGCCUAUGCAGUCGGAGAGAUUGAGGUCUGCAGCGUAGAUCCUUCGGGGCUAAAUGCAUUUGUGCUAAGUUAUAGCAUUUUAUAGACAACUUGUUGACUAUGAUUUGUCUUGUAGCUUACUCGCUUAUGUUAUUUUACCUACGCUUAGGAUGUUGAACUCUAUCACACACAG